AUACGUAGGGUGCGAGCGUUGUCCGGAAUUACUGGGCGUAAAGAGCUCGUAGGUGGUUUGUCGCGUCGUCUGUGAAAUUCCGGGGCUUAACUCCGGGCGUGCAGGCGAUACGGGCAUAACUUGAGUACUGUAGGGGGGACUGGAAUUCCUGGUGUCGAGGUGAAUUGCGCAGAUAUCAGGAGGAACACCGGUGGCGAAGGCGGGUCUCUGGGCAGUAACUGACGCUGAGGAGCGAAAGCAUGGGUAGCGAACAGGAUUAGAUACCCUGGUAGUCCAUGCCGUAAACGGUGGGCGCUAGGUGUAGGGGUCUUCCACGACUUCUGUGCCGUAGCUAACGCAUUAAGCGCCCCGCCUGGGGAGUACGGCCGCAAGGCUAAAACUCAAAUGAAUUGACGGGG
rnacentral:rRNA from 1 species